UUGCCACUUUGGCAGCACAUAUACUAAAAGUGGAAUGAUACAGAGAACAUUAACACGACCCCUGCACAAGAAUGACAUGCAAAUUCAUGAAACAUUCCAUAAUUUU